rnacentral:rRNA from 1 species
GACAGAGGGUGCAAACGUUGUUCGGAAUUACUGGGCGUAAAGCGUGCGCAGGCGGUUUUGUAAGCCAGAUGUGAAAUCCCCGGGCUUAACCUGGGAAUGGCAUUUGGGACUGCAAGGCUGGAGUGCGGCAGAGGAGACUGGAAUUCCUGGUGUAGCAGUGAAAUGCGUAGAUAUCAGGAGGAACACCGAUGGCGAAGGCAGGUCUCUGGGCUGACCUGACGCUGAGGCGCGAAGGCAUGGGGAGCGAACGGG